AUUGAACGCUGGCGGCAUGCUUUACACAUGCAAGUCGAACGGUAACAGGCCUUCGGGUGCUGACGAGUGGCGAACGGGUGAGUAAUGCAUCGGGACGUGCCCAGAGGUGGGGGAUAACGCAGCGAAAGCUGUGCUAAUACCGCAUGUGAUCUGAGGAUGAAAGCGGGGGACCAAGCAGCAAUGUUUGGCCUCGCGCCUCUGGAGCGGCCGAUGUCAGAUUAGGUAGUUGGUGGGGUAAAGGCCUACCAAGCCGACGAUCUGUAGCUGGUCUGAGAGGACGACCAGCCACACUGGGACUGAGACACGGCCCAGACUCCUACGGGAGGCAGCAGUGGGGAAUUUUGGACAAUGGGCGCAAGCCUGAUCCAGCAAUGCCGCGUGCGGGAAGAAGGCCUUCGGGUUGUAAACCGCUUUUGUACGGAACGAAAAGGCUCUGGCUAAUACCUGGGGCUGAUGACGGUACCGUAAGAAUAAGCACCGGCUAACUACGUG
rnacentral:rRNA from 1 species